rnacentral:lncRNA from 1 species
UUGGGUUCCCGCUUAUGGGGCUGGGGGCCUGCUUACGGGGCUGGGGUCCCACUUAUGGGGCUGGGGUCCCGCUUAUGGGGAGGGGGUCCCGCUUAUGGGGCUGGGGCCCCGCUUAUGGGGCUGGGAUCCUGCUUAUGGGGCUGGGAUCCUGCUUAUGGGGCUGGGGUCCCGCUAUGGGGCUGGGGUCCCGCUAUGGGGCCAGGUUUUCUCCCUGGAGCCGCAGUGAGUGCUCUGCCCCACAGGUGACGGCGCCGUGCCACCCUCCGCCCCCUGCUGAGCUGCGGAGGAGCACCGCGCCAGCGCGGCACGGAGAGAAGCUGGACGGCGUUCUGCCCCUCAGCGCCCUCCGGCAGCAUCGCUCCCUGCCCAGGUGCGGGGGGGCCGUGGGGGGGCUCUGCGGCGCCGUCCCUCUUCACCGUCCCUCGAUCCCCACAUCCCCCAACCCAGCCUGGAGCUGGACUCCGUGGCCCUGCGACCCCGAAACCUCUCAGCCCCGUAACCUUGUGACCCCAUGGGCCCGCUUACAGCCCCACGACCCCACACAUCCCCCCACAACCCCACAAAUAUCCCCUUGACCCCAGGUAUCCCCCCAUGACCCCACCUAUCCCCCAGUGACCCUCUGCAUCCCCCCCCGCCCCCCCCAAUACCCCCACGCCCG